rnacentral:misc_RNA from 1 species
CGUUAAUUGUUGAGAAGGCUA